rnacentral:lncRNA from 1 species
AUAAAAGCUAUGGAUUCUAUUGUGUAAACAUCUUAACAAAAUUAGUCUUUAAUGUGGUGAGCCGGGUGUAAAAGGUACGCCCAUAUUUGGUGUCAUCAAGGUUUACCAGCAGAAAUACUAUUGGACUGAAUCAAACUGCCAGCUUUCCUUUAGAUUCAAAGGAGGAUUUAUUUUUGCCAUUGAUAUCUCUGAAGAGGCAAAAAGAUGUAUUGAAGAAGAGAUGGUGGCCACUGAAGCCAUACUUAAACAAAAUGAGAAGACAUCCAGUAAUUGUAGCUGCCAGUACUAAGGAAGACCUUAAAUCCAAAAAAGAGAGAAAUUCCAAAAUUAGAAUCCCCACAAGUACCUUCAAUGGGCUGCAAUAGAAUGAGAGGGUGUUCACUUCCACCUGUACCAGUAGAUCACUACACAAAGAUGGAUGCCUUCUCCGCCAGAAACAUAAUUACUCUAAAAAUGAUGUCUUGCAGCAAAUAAAAAUGGAGCAACGCCUGCAGACACUGUCAGGAAUUUUGAAUUGUUUCUAAGGGAUGCCGUCCUUGGCAUCGCAGGAGGACCUACUCCAUUAGUGUUCGUAAAGGGCAAUCCCUUUUUAAGAGCCUAUCAUAAAUUGAGGCAGGCUGAACUCUCUGCUGUUAUCAACUUUUUUACCGUAAAAGAAGAAUGGGCAGAAGAAUGCUGGCGAUGCAGCUUAUCAGCUGGAACGUUCAUUACAAUAUCAAAAGAUGGUGUUGGAUCGUGCACCAUGAUUCCAGUUAAUGCAGGACCUUUUAUGCCUCAUUCUUGCAAUUUACCUCUAUCUUUCAAUGGGCCAUGAUACCACUGAUAUCAUCACAUAAUGAGUCUUACAUAAUUAAAGACAAAGGCAUCAAGACAACACUAAGACUAAAAACUUAUCUAUUAAAUUAUUUUUUUUUUUAAUAAUUAUUAUUGUUCAAACAUUUGGCACUGUGCAGCAAA